AUCCAAGUCUCGUUCCAGGCACCAAUCACGCCAUUUGCCCCAUGAAGACUUAUAAGCUUGUCUUGUGCCGGGUGCCCAUGCGUUCUCGAGAAGGCGGAGAGUCGAUUCCGGAACUCCCUCGAUUGCCCAAGGUCCCCUGAAAUUAGCCACGCUGUUAGCCGUAGCAGAUCCUGCUGCACCAGGGGAUGAGGGGCCCCAUCUGGGUCCUGCAGUAAAUAAAUGGAGUGUGGGAGAAUUUGAGGCACGUCCACCGUCAUCUCCAGGAGGGGAGGGAACCAAGGUUGGGAGGGCCAUAACGGUGCGACAAGCACCAGGGUUCCCGACUGUCGUCGUAACUGUAGGAGGCAGCGAGGAAUCAGUGCAAAC